UGCAGACCCGCGCCCUCCUGACCAACGAGAGACCCAAUGAGGGUUAAGAAUGGCUGGAAGGUUCAAGAUUGGGUAUCUGCAUCUGGUGGAGGCCUCAGGCUGCUUCCAUUCAUGGCAAAAGGCCAAGGCAAAGGGGAGCCAGCUGUGCAGAGAUCACUUGGUGACAGAGGAAACAAAAGACGGAUCUACAUUGUGUGUAAUCUUAGUGGGGCUGCCAUUCCUGGUGACUACAUUCCAUUACCAAAGCCGAAGGAAACAGAUCCUUGCCCUCCUUGACUCUGCAGGACCAGGGGCCAGAUGAAGAAACUAUGACACAGAGAGGCGAAGUAACUUGAUAAGAUCAAAACAAACUCUGAAUAUGCCAAUCCACUACCGUCUAGAAGACUAUGGGGUCUCUGAUGAGAAAUCAGCUAUUAAUCUUAGCAAGGAUCCUUGCAUGUGAUGAGUUACUUCUCUUGAUGCUUUCAACAUUCUCUCUUUACCUUUUGACAGUUUGAUUAUCGUGUGUCUUGGUGUAGUUUAUCCUACUUGGAGUUUCUUGAGCUUCUUAAAUGUGGUUAAUGUUUUUCCUCAAAUUUGAGAAGUUUCUGAGCAUUAUUUAUUUAAAUAUUGUUUUAGUCUGUUCAGGCUGCUAUAACAAAACACCAUAAACUGGGUAGCUUAUAAACAUCGGAAAUUUAUUUCUCACAGUUCUGGAGGUUGGGAAGUCCAAGAUCAAGGAACCGGCAGAUUUGGUAUCUGGUGAAGGACCAUUUUCUGGUUCAGACAGUGCCUUCUCACUGUGUUCUCACGUGGUAGUAGGGCAAGUGAUCUUCUUAUUACUCUAAGAGUGGUAAUCCCAUUCAUGAGGGCUCUACUCCCAUGACCCAGUCACCAUCCAAGUCCCUACCUCCCAAUACCUUGGGGGUUAGGAUUUCAGCAUAUAAAUUUAAAAGACCUCAUCAUAUAAAAAGACACAAACAUUCAGACCAGAGCAAAUAUUCUUUCCAGCCCUCCCGCCUUUCCAUAUGUUACUCUCAUUACACUGUGUCUGCUGUGCAUGUUGGUGCACUUGAGGGUGUCUCACAGGUCUCUAAGGGUCUGCUCUUCAAACUGGAUAUUCCAAUUAAUUUAUCUUCGACUUCACUGAUUCUUUCUUCUGUCUACUCAAUUCUGCUAUCUAAGCCCUUUAGUGAACCAUUCAGUUACUGUACUUUUCAGCUAUAAACUCUGUUUAGUUCCUUUCUAUAAUUUCUAUAUUGAUAUUCUCUAUUUGAUGAUGUAUCAUUCUUCUGGUUUCCUUUAGCAAUUUGAGCAUAAUAAAGACAGCUUACUUAAAGUCUUUGCCUGUGCUUCCCUGGGGGAAGUUUCUGUUCGUUUCCUCUGUAUAAGAGCCUUACUUUGUUUCUUUGUAUGUUUCAUAAUUUUUUGUAGAAAACUGGACAUUUUGAAUAUUACAAUGUGACGA
rnacentral:lncRNA from 1 species